rnacentral:RNase_P_RNA from 1 species
CCAGAUGGCCGGAUGGCUGCCUUUGGCGUUUCGGGCGCAAGCCCGGGGCGCCGGGGGAGGAAAGUCCGGGCUCCACGGAAACACGGUGCCGGGUAACGCCCGGCGGGGGCGACCCUAGGGAAAGUGCCACAGAAAGCAAACCGCCACCCGGAACGUGCCGCAAGGGACGCCGGAGGUAAGGGUGAAAGGGUGCGGUAAGAGCGCACCGCGCGACCGGCAACGGAAGCGGCAGGGCAAACCCCACCGGGAGCAAGACCAAGUAGGGACGGCAGGGCUCCUUGAGGGUUCAGGCGGGUUUUCGCGCCGCCGUCCGGGUCGGUCGCGCGAGGCGUCCGGUAACGGGCGUCCCAGAUGAAUGGCCAUCUCGGGAGGCUUCGGCCUUUCGGACAGAACCCGGCUUACAGGCCAUCUGGCUCU